AAUGAAACAAAACAUAGAAGAUGAAAGCUAUAGUUCAACAAAUAGAUUGCUAAAAUAAUAACAUUAUUUUAGCAUCGUCGACAUUAGAAAUUUGGGAGAUCUCUGGAACGAUACAAUUGAGGCGAAUAGAUUAAAAAGAUGAAAUUAGAUUAUAUAAGUAAGUGUCAUCAGUUGAGAACAGGAAAAAGAUUUUCGUCUUAAAAGAGAAUACGAGGCGUAACAAAUAAAAAUUCCGGAUUAAUUUUCGGACAAACAGCACCAAAGUCGAUAUUAAAACAUAUAACAGAAAUACAGUUUAAGCUAACGAUAAGCCUUGAAACUUGCACUCAAGCGUUUGACAGGAGAAUAACAAAGCAUAAUGGAAAAAAAUAUUUCUUCCAAAAUAAAACCAGAGGAUGUCUACACCGGAAAAGCAGACGCAUAUUAUGAAAAACUUCGCGUGGAAAUAGCGAGAGAUGCUGAAAGGAUAUCCCGUUACCAAAUAGAAGAAGAUAUCCCCAGCAAAUCUUGUUUCGAAAAAGAAGACAUCUCCAACAAAUCUUAUUCCAAAAUAAAAACAGAAAGUACUUCUAAUAUCUUAAAUAAAUCAGAUAUAUCAGAAUCAGGGAGUGAUGUCUUUAAUACAGCAUCGGAAGUUCAGCUGAAUCCACCUUCAUAUAAUAAGUCAUAUUGCCGCACAAUGG